AGUGAACGCUGGCGGCGUGCCUAAUACAUGCAAGUCGAACGGAGAUUAAGUAGCUUGCUAUUUAAUCUUAGUGGCGCACGGGUGAGUAAUAUAUAGCUAACUUGCCCAUUACUAAGGGACAACAGUUGGAAACGACUGCUAAUACCUUAUACUCCGUAUCUAUAUAAGUAGAUACGGGAAAGUUUUUCGGUAAUGGAUAGGGCUAUAUCGUAUCAGCUAGUUGGUAAGGUAAUGGCUUACCAAGGCUAUGACGCGUAACUGGUCUGAGAGGAUGAUCAGUCACACUGGAACUGAGACACGGUCCAGACUCCUACGGGAGGCAGCAGUAGGGAAUAUUGCUCAAUGGGGGAAACCCUGAAGCAGCAACGCCGCGUGGAGGAUGACACUUUUCGGAGCGUAAACUCCUUUUCUUGGGAAAGAAUUAUGGCGGUACCCAAGGAAUAAGCACCGGCUAACUCCGUG
rnacentral:rRNA from 1 species